rnacentral:rRNA from 1 species
UACGUAGGUGGCAAGCGUUAUCCGGAAUUAUUGGGCGUAAAGCGCGCGUAGGCGGUCUUUUAAGUCUGAUGUGAAAGCCCCCGGCUCAACCGGGGAGGGUCAUUGGAAACUGGUCGACUUGAGUGCAGAAGAGGGAAGUGGAAUUCCAUGUGUAGCGGUGAAAUGCGUAGAGAUAUGGAGGAACACCAGUGGCGAAGGCGGCUUCCUGGUCUGUAACUGACACUGAGGCGCGAAAGCGUGGGGAGCAAACAGGAUUAGAUACCCUGGUAGU